rnacentral:lncRNA from 1 species
UGAGAGGUGCUUUUCUUAUAAAACAUUUGUCAAGCACUUACUGUGUGCCAGAAACCCCUCCUAGGACAUUCAUGCAAGGUAAUCAUCUUUAUCUCUAUUUUACAGACAAGAAGUUGAGGCUUUGGGAGAAUAAUGAAUAUGUGUUAAGUCAUACAGCUAGGAAAUGGCAGAACAGGGAUUUGAAGCCAACCUUUCUGACUGUGUCAACCUGUGUGAUUUUCCAUGACAUUAUCCUGAAGGAGAUCAAGGAUGGAUGAAGGAGCUCCUAGAGCCUCAGAAUCUAGAUGGGAUCAUAAACUUUCUCUCUACAGGGGCUUUCUGCAUCUUUAAGCCUGGUGAGAGAAAGAUAUCAGCUCUGUGGAAGCACUGGGAUUCACAUUUCAAGUUAUGAGAUGGCAGUCGAUGGCUGCAAGUACAUAGAGACGCAGAGAUGCAGCGGUCCCCUCUUCUCGCCUUUUGCAGUUUCCCCGCACAGCCUGGCACCUGCGUUGGCAUUUGCUGUCUGGGUCUGGCUCCUGACCAGAGUCCCACCCUCACAGAGACCUCAGGUAUCUGGGCCUCCCUCCCCGGCUGUGAAUCAUCAGAGGUGCUGAGUCUUCUCCCACUUUGAGUUACUGGCAGAGGUGUUGUUUCUUCCUAUAAGAGGAGGGAGAGAGUUGCUAAGGAACACAUUAACACGCUGACGACGCAACAAUCUCCGAGAGCUUGGGCCUCCAACGUUUGACUCUAAUCAGGAAAUCAUUUUUAGAAGGAUAUGUCGGUGUAAGAAAACAAGCUCCCGAACUAAAUUAGGAUCUGGAUUAUUUUUUCCUCCUCUCCCAAUCUGCCUCACACGGCAGAUUGGUGAGCCCUCGCGGUUCUGCGCAUGGCGAAUUUGUUUCUGUUGCGCAUUUUAAUUCAGAGCUCCGGAAGGUGAAGGUGUCUGUGUUUCUAAGGACUGCCGUUUUUUGGAGCAGCUCCCUUGGAGUAAUGAAUGCACUGCGUGUCUCUGGGAAAUUAAGGCCCUGCUGCCCCGUCUGCUUAGCACCUCUGAGGCUGCCCUCUGAUCCCUUGCUAAGUGCCAGGCUCCCUGGAGAAGAGCCCAGAUCCAGGACUUGGAGUCCAGUGCACACGCUCUGUCUCCUUAUUUCCACGGCAGCCGCCGGAUUUUCACUCAAGGAAUUGUCACUUCAAGCCGAGAACAAGCAGAACAACAAAUUCUCAAGGGAAAUCUGUGCUUUGCCCAAAGUGUUGCUUGCAGAGUGGGAGGAAAGAAACUUGACAUCAAGAUAUUUGGGACUUUGGGGACAAACAGUGUAUUCCGCAUGUUGCUGCGGGGCAUAUGGGCAUCCUUUUCUUGCUUAAUUACAUCCUGCGUGUUUUUGUGGAAAAUGUUGAGGUCACAGCAAGUCCGAGGCUGCACAACUCCAACUAACUCUGAGGAUACUACACCCCCUCCCUAGAUAGUAACUCUCAGAAGCAAAGUAGACCCCAUUGCAGUCUAACCAAGGGCUGCAGGAAAACAAAGAGAAUAAAGGGGGAAAAAGAAACUCCUCUUGCUUAGUCUUGCUGGACACAGUGGGUGUGGCCACAACAGAAUCUGUAGAGGUGGCCAGAGCCCCACGUGUCCAAGUGUGUCCUGAUCAGUGACUGUGAGGGAGGUAGCACUGAGUCGUCAUCAGGCGCCUCUGUUUCAGUCCAUUUGUCCACUGAUGAGCUGUGUGACUUUGAGCAAGUCUCAUUCCCUUUCUUGACCUCAGUGUUCCUGUCGGAGGAAUGAGACAUUGAGCCAGACAUUCUCUUUUUGCUCUAAAACACUGGAAGUGUUUUCCUUGAAGUCUGAGUCCUUCCGCCCAUUUUAUCUUAAAUACUUUGUGAUGGUGCUUAUUAUUUAUGACCAGCUAUUUCCAAAGAGGAUUUGAGUCAGCUUACCAUAUGAGAUGUGGUCAAGAUGGUCAUUAAAAGGCAAUUAAUGAUCAAAUGUCAUUUGAUAGGUGGCGGUGUUGGGGUGAAAAAUACACCAGAAACCUAGGAAGAAAAUAGCUUUCUCAGGGAAGUACCAAAGGAGAGUUUUGAGUUGCCUGGCUGCCUGAGAGAAGGAAAGCCCCAUCCAAUGCUCAGAAGGAGCC